rnacentral:rRNA from 1 species
UACGUAGGGGGCGAGCGUUGUCCGGAGUUACUGGGCGUAAAGGGCACGCAGGCGGUGCGGCGCGUUUCGCGUGACAGCGGAGGGCUUAACUCUCCGAGGAUGCGAAAGACGGCGGCACUUGAGGGCCAGAGAGGGACACGGAAUUCCGGGUGGAGUGGUGAAAUGCGUAGAGAUCCGGAGGAACACCGAAGGCGAAGGCGGUGUCCUGGCUGGUGACUGACGCUGAGGUGCGAAAGCUAGGGGAGCGAACGGG